GACGAACGCUGGCGGCGUGCUUAACACAUGCAAGUCGAACGGACCCUUUGGGGUUAGUGGCGAACGGGUGAGUAACACGUGGGUGAUCUGCCCUGCACUUUGGGAUAAGCCUGGGAAACUGGGUCUAAUACCGGAUAGGACUACGCACUGCAUGGUGUGUGGUGGAAAGCUUUUGCGGUGUGGGAUGGGCCCGCGGCCUAUCAGCUUGUUGGUGGGGUGACGGCCUACCAAGGCGACGACGGGUAGCCGGCCUGAGAGGGUGACCGGCCACACUGGGACUGAGGUACGGCCCAGACUCCUACGGGAGGCAGCAGUGGGGAAUAUUGCACAAUGGGCGCAAGCCUGAUGCAGCGACGCCGCGUGAGGGAUGACGGCCUUCGGGUUGUAAACCUCUUUCGCCAGGGACGAAGCGCAAGUGACGGUACCUGGAGAAGAAGGACCGGCCAACUACGUGCCAGCAGCCGCCGUAA
rnacentral:rRNA from 1 species